rnacentral:rRNA from 1 species
GAUGAACGCUGGCGGCGUGCCUAACACAUGCAAGUCGAGCGAACGGACGAGAAGCUUGCCUUUCUUACUUUAGCGGCGGACGGGUGAGUAACACGUGGAUAACCCUCCUAUAAGACUGGGAUAACUUCGUGAAACCGGUGCUAAUACCGGCUAAUAUUUUGAACCGCAUGGUUCAAAAGUGAAAGACGUUCUUGCUGUCACUUAUAGAUGGAUCCGCGCUGCAUUAGCUAGUUGGUAAGGUAACGGCUUACCAAGGCAACGAUGCAUAGCCGACCUGAGAGGGUGAUCAGCCACACUGGAACUGAGACACGGUCCAGACUCCUACGGGAGGCAGCAGUAGGGAAUAUUCCGCAAUGGGCGAAAGCCUGACGGAGCAACGCCGCGUGAGUGAUGAAGGUCUUCGGAUCGUAAAACUCUGUUAUUAGGGAAGAACAUAUGUGUAAGUAACUGUGCACAUCUUGACGGUACCUAAUCAGAAAGCCACGGCUAACUACGUG